CAAAGAUGAAGAAAGGCGUCAGUGGCAGAGGAAGCAAAAGUGAAGCAGCGGACAAACAUGUGGGUCAGCACAGAGUCGUGUCCACAGCACGGUCCAUCCUUAAGUCCAUGACAGUGACGUCCAGGCAAAUGAGGGGGCUACAUCUGAGGUGACCCAGAUUCUCAGCCCAUACUCUGCUGGCUUGCUGGGCAGGAGCUGCUGGAAUUUGCAGUGGUGUCUACAGGGUAUGAGCUGCUCAUCAACAGUACUACAGGUACUACGUAUUCAUGCAAACAAAAAGAGAAUCAAAUAACUAAAAAUCUUUUGUUUUUCCUGUAUCAGGUCCAGCAGAUCUGCUAUCCACCCUUCUCUCUAACCCCCCUUUUCCACCCCUGCUCUCCUGAAGGUAGUGCAGGUGCAGUCUAAAAAUAACCCAGGCACUGUAGAAUGAGUGCAACCCAAAUGUGUGGAAUCUAAAUUUCAUGUGUGUGGGGUAAAAGGAAGGAGGUAGAAAUCUGACGUAGCUCAUGCCAAAGACAACUGACUCCCACCUAAUCUGUUCUGUUCUAUUCAGUUCUUCUGAACUGGUCUUUAUAAACAAGAAGAAGUCUUUCCUCAACAUUUUUGGAUUUUUCUAUUCAGGACAUUCAGUGGAGAACAUUUCCUCAAACAUCUGAAAAUUACAAGAAUUUCCUACAAUUCCCAAAAUAUUAACAAAGAAAUGUGGAUGUGAUCCAUCGGUAAACAAAUCUCUGUUCUCUAUCUCCUUAAAGACUACAGAAAUAAUUCCUACAUAGAAAAAAAAAGAAUUAAACUUUGGUAAUUUAUUGAAACCACGGACUACUUUAAUUUUGGUUGUGCAAUCUGAAUAUGUAAAAAAAAAAAGAACUUGUUAGAGCAACGUCUAUACCUUUAUUUUUUAUCAAGUCUCACGUCAAUGACCUUGACAGCUUUCUCCAAUCUGCCAUCGAGCCUCUACCACCCUUUAUCUAUCCUGUCCCAGUGCGACUGCAGCACUGAUCCAAAUCCUGGAUGUGGUCUCUAACCUAAUUAACCCAGAAAAAUAUAAAUAGAUUGACAGCAGACCCUGAUUAAAAAUGGGUCAAACUGAAUGAAAUAAGUUCUGCUUUCAGAAUGGUCACACUAAACUAGGACACCUUCAUCUCUUCUUUGCAUUGAAAUAAUGUCUGCUUCAAU